rnacentral:rRNA from 1 species
GAGGAAUGUAUAGCAAUAGCUAGUUGCAUCAUUGUUACAAUGAUGCAACAUCGACUAUGUCGAAUAAAAUUCUAGGUAGAAUUAUGAUAAUGACAUUGUCUGCCUAUGUGUCUUGACCAAAUUACGUGCCAGCAGUCGCGGUAAUACGUAGAAGACUAGUGUUAUUCAUGUUUAAUCGGUUUAAAGGGUACCUAGACGGUAAAUCAAGCUUUAUAAGAAAUAUAGUUAAAGGACUAAUUUACUAGAGUUACUUACGAGGGGGCAUUAAAGUACUACUGGUGUAGAGAUGAAAUUCUGUCAUACCUCUUUUCAAAAGAAAAAAUGAAGGCACAGGUAUAGGCGAAGGCAUCUCCUUAUGUGAUAACUGACGUUGAGGGACGAAGGCUUUGUAUAGCGAACAGGAUUAGUUACCCCAGUAGUCGAAGCAGAAAAUGAUGAAUGUCAUAGAUUAGAGGUAAGUUUAUUCUAUAAAUGAAAGUGUAAGCAUUCCACCUCAUGAGUAAUUUGGCAACAUUGGAACUGAAAUCAUUAGACCGUUUCUGAAACCAGUAGUGAAGUAUGUUGUUUAAUUUGAUGAUCCGCAAAAAACCUUACCACAAUUUGAAUAUUUAUAUUUUUUUUUAUUGUUUUCUUAUUAAUUUUCUUCUAAUAACAAGAUGAGGCAAUAAAAUGUUUAUGAGAAAAAAGAAGAAAGUUAAUAUAGAGGCAAUAAGAUAUAUUUACAAGCGUUGCACGGCUGUCUUCAGUUAAUGUCGCGAGACUUUGGUUAGUUCCAUUAAAUUAACGUAAACCCUU